rnacentral:rRNA from 1 species
GACGAACGCUGGCGGCGUGCUUAACACAUGCAAGUCGAACGGAAAGGCCCUGCUUUUGUGGGGUGCUCGAGUGGCGAACGGGUGAGUAACACGUGAGUAACCUGCCCUUGACUUUGGGAUAACUUCAGGAAACUGGGGCUAAUACCGGAUAGGAGCUCCUGCUGCAUGGGGGGGGUUGGAAAGUUUCGGCGGUUGGGGAUGGACUAGCGGCUUAUCGGCUUGUUGGUGGGGUAGGGGCUUACCAAGGCUUUGACGGGUAGCCGGCCUUGGAGGGUGGCCGGCCACAUUGGGACUGCGAUACGGCCCAGACUCCUACGGGAGGCAGCAGUCGGGAAUAUUGCACAAUGGGCGGAAGCCUGAUGCAGCAACGCCGCGUGCGGGAUGACGGCCUUCGGGUUGUAAACCGCUUUCGCCUGUGACGAAGCGUGAGUGACGGUAAUGGGUAAAGAAGCACCGGCUAACUACGUG